UAAUGAAUUGAGAUAUAAAGUGAUUGGUUUUAGGAUGUGGAAGAUUAAAGCAUUUUUAAACUCAGUAGGGGCGAUUGAAGGUUGUUGUGUUAUAAAUUGAAGAGUACUGUGAAGGAAUGCGGUUUAUUAUUUAUGGGAAAGAAAGGGUUUAGGCCUGUACCUUUUGCAUCAUGGUCUAGCUAGAUUUUUGUCUGAGAUGCGGAGUUCUCGAAACCUAAUGGGUUAUUCUCAUCCUACUUUGUUGGAGUUUGGGAAGCUAAUUGUGGCAGAAAUUUGUCCAGAGAUGAGAAUGGAAAUGAGAUUUUAUUCGUAUUGGGUGAUAGCUAGUUCCCCUUAAAGGCAUAGGAGUGCUCUAAGUUAUUUUUUUGGCGUGAGUUAGGUUGCGUUAUAUGUUUUAGCUUGGUUGGGUUUUUGAGGAUAAGCUCGAAAACAGAGUUGAGUUGUUGUAUUGUUGUCUAAGUUGAAAUUUAGGCUUGAAAAUGGCCAAAAUUUUGAUUUUGUUAUAAUUUCAUUGGCUAUGAAGGGAUAGGAUUGAUUUAUUUGGGGUUGAAUGGGGAAAAUUUAAAAAUGAGUGAGGAAUUAAUAGUAUGCUAGAAUGAGUAUUUUGUUGGGUUUAUCUACCUAGGUAGCAUUGUUGAGGAUCUGGGUUGAAAGAUUUUUUUGUGUUUGAAGUCGUGAAAAGGAACUCGGCAAGUGUGUAUUCUGCCUGUUUAGCAAAAACAUGGCUCCUUGUUUGUUCGUCUUUAGAUGGGGAGUCGGACCUGCCCGGUGAAGUUUUUUAACGGCCGCGGUACUCUGACCGUGCAAAGGUAGCAUAAUCAUUUGCCUUAUAAUUGAAGGCUGGUAUGAAUGGUUUGACAAGAAUAUGACUGUCUCUUUACGAUUUGUUAGAAUUUUAUUUGUGGAUGAAGAAGUCUGCAUUGUAUUAAAAGACAAGAAGACCCUAUCGAGCUUGAAAAGAGUUGGCAGUUUAAAAUUCAUGAGAUGGAGAAUUAAGUCUGUUAUAAAUUUUGGUUGGGGCGACUGAGGAACAGGGAUAGCUUCCUUUGAUUUUGUUUUCUAGCCGGCGUUGAUCCAAGGAGUCUUGAUUGAAGGAAUUAGUUACCGUAGGGAUAACAGCAUUAUCUUUUUUGAGAGCUCUUAUCGAAAAAAAGGUUUGUGACCUCGAUGUUGGACCAGAAUGUCCUGAAGAUGCAGAAGUCUUUGAGGGUUGGUCUGUUCGACCAUUAAAAUUCU
rnacentral:rRNA from 1 species